GACGUAGGGCGCGAGCGUUGUCCGGAUUUAUUGGGCGUAAAGAGCUCGUAGGCGGCUUGUUGCGUCAGCUGUGAAAACCCGCAGCUCAACUGUGGGCUUGCAGCUGAUACGGGCAGGCUUGAGUUCGGUAGGGGAGACUGGAAUCCUGGUGUAGCGGUGAAAUGCGCAGACUAUCAGGAGGAACACCGGUGGCGAAGGCAGGUCUCUGGGCUGUA
rnacentral:rRNA from 1 species